rnacentral:rRNA from 1 species
UUGGAGGGCAAGUCUGGUGCCAGCAGCCGCGGUAAUUCCAGCUCCAAUAGCGUAUAUUAAAGUUGUUGCAGUUAAAAAGCUCGUAGUUGAAUUUUAGGCGUGGCCGGGCGGUCCACCUUCUGGGUGAGCACUGUCUCGUUGUCGGGCCUAUCCUUCUGUUGAGCCGGGAUGUCCUUAAUUGGGUGUGUCGGGGAAGCAGGACCAUUACCUUGAAAAAAUUAGAGUGUUCAAAGCAGGCGCAUGCCCGAAUACAUUAGCAUGGAAUAAUGAAACAGGACGUCGUGGUUCUAUUUUGUUGGUUUCUAGGACCACCGUAAUGAUUAAUAGGGAUAGUUGGGGGCAUUAGUAUUCAAUUGUCAGAGGUGAAAUUCUUGGAUUUAUUGAAGACUAACUUCUGCGAAAGCAUUUGCCAAGGAUGUUUUCAUUAAUCAAGAACGAAAGUUAGGGGAUCGAAGACGAUCAGAUACCGUCGUAGUCUUAACCAUAAACUAUGCCGACUAGGAAUCGGGCGAUGUUAUUUUGAUGACUCGCCCGGCGCCUUACGGGAAAC